ACGCACGCUGGCGGCAUGCCUAACACAUGCAGGUCGAACGAGACCUUCGGGUCUAGUGGCGCACGGGUGCGUAACGCGUGGGAACCUGCCCUUAGGUUCGGAAUAACUCCCCGAAAGGGGUGCUAAUACCGGAUAAUGUCUUCGGACCAAAGAUUUAUCGCCUUUGGAUGGGCCCGCGUUGGAUUAGCUAGUUGGUAGGGUAAAAGCCUACCAAGGCGACGAUCCAUAGCUGGUCUGAGAGGAUGAUCAGCCACACUGGGACUGAGACACGGCCCAGACUCCUACGGGAGGCAGCAGUGGGGAAUAUUGGACAAUGGGCGAAAGCCUGAUCCAGCAAUGCCGCGUGAGUGAUGAAGGCCUUAGGGUUGUAAAGCUCUUUUACCCGGGAUGAUAAUGACAGUACCGGGAGAAUAAGCUCCGGCUAACUCCGUG
rnacentral:rRNA from 1 species